rnacentral:rRNA from 2 species
AAGAAAUUUAAUAAUUUUGAAAAUGGAUUUUUUUGUUUUGGCAAGAGCAUGAGAGCUUUUACUGGGCAAGAAGACAAGAGAUGGAGAGUCCAGCCGGGCCUGCGCUUAAGUGCGCGGUCUUGCUAGGCUUGUAAGUUUCUUUCUUGCUAUUCCAAACGGUGAGAGAUUUCUGUGCUUUUGUUAUAGGACAAUUAAAACCGUUUCAAUACAACACACUGUGGAGUUUUCAUAUCUUUGCAACUUUUUCUUUGGGCAUUCGAGCAAUCGGGGGGCCCAGAGGUAACAAACACAAACAAUUUUAUCUAUUCAUUAAAUUUUUGUCAAAAACAAGAAUUUUCGUAACUGGAAAUUUUAAAAUAUUAA